AUUCCACUUUGUUGACACUUUCUAACAAUCUCCUUAAACCUCUCCCAUGCUUCAAAAAUAGUUUCAAUCUAUUCUCUGGCAAAAGUUAUGGAUUUCUCUUCUAAACUU
rnacentral:snoRNA from 1 species